GAGAGAGAGAGAGAGAGAGAGAGAGAGAGGGUGGCAUGUAGAGAGAGAGGGAGAAGAAGAAAGAAAGGAAGAAAGAAGAAGAAGGUGAAGAGGAACCCAUUUUAGAGCUUGAACAAGGGGUGUGAAGUUUGGGUGUUGAUCAUAUUGUGUUCUUGAUUUUACAAUCAAGAGAGGAUUGAUGAUUAUGAUUUGUAUUUUUAAGAGAAUAUGAUUUGUUUAAAAAUGGCUCAUGGGUAUGAUUGAGAAAAUGGAUUUGAUAGGGUUUAUUGUUAUCCCCAAAAAUUGGAGAUCGAUGACGUGGCAAUAGAGGUGACAAGUGGUAGUACAUGGUCCAUAAAAGACACAUUAAAUAGUCAAUAAAUACAUUGACUCCUGAGAGUUGUGAUAAAAUUUUGACUGGCUUGAGAAGUGUCAUGACCGACCAGGCAUGACCUUGUCUGACCAGUCACGACAUUACUGCCCAGGAGUGAUAUUGCUGCCCAGUAAUAACUUUGCUGCCCAGAGUGCCAUGUUAGAGGAGAGACAUGGCAUGCUAGACCAGAGUGUCAUGUUAGAGGAGAGACAUUGUAUGCUAGACCAGAGUGCCAUGUUAGACGAGAGGCAUGUGCAUGUCCUACCAGCAAGUGCAUGUCCUACCAGCAAGUGCAUGUCCUACCAGCAUGCAUGUGUCCGACCAGCACUUGCAUAUGUCCAGCAUGCAUGUGUCCGACCAGCACUUGCAUGAGUAUCCAGUAGAGGUGUGUUCGACCAGCUUGAAGGAGAUAUGAGUCGACUAGAUAGAGGAGGACUAAGUCAAGAUUCCCAGAAACAGCUUCAACAAGAACCGGUCUUGGCACACGCGGGAAUCUCUCAUUCUUCCCACAAAUUUGGUGUUAUGUUAUAUAUUGAAUAUUUUUGUAAUUUAAAUAUAAUAAGAAUAAUAAAAUAUCCCGAUUCUAGGGGAUAUCAGAUGUAUGAUCCUAAGCCUAUUGUAACGCCCUACUUCCUUAGAGCCGUUACUAAGUGAUUUUUAAGACAAAUCAGUGUGCAAUGAACUCGCUAACCGAGGUUUUGAGACAAAAGUGUGACUAAUUAAAAUUUAAGGCUGUAAUCUUAGAAAAUGCGUCGUUUCAUUUAAAACUGCUAGUAUUAAACAUUUGGGAUCCCAAAAUAAGGUUUGAAAACUAUUUACA